CGGGGCGUGGCGCAGCCUGGCUAGCGCGCUUGGUUCGGGACCAAGAGGUCGCGGGUUCGAAUCCCGCCGCCCCGA
rnacentral:tRNA from 1 species